CCGCAAUAAACGGGGAGAUAGCGGCACCUUGUAACCUGCAAUCCGCUAUAGCAGGGUCGAAUUCCUAUAGAAGGUAUCGUUAUGUGUGGUCAGUUCUUUUGUUUCGGUGUUGAGGAAAAAGUCUUUUGUGAAGAAAAACCUACGAACGGGUCAGAUCCGGAAGGAAGCAGCCAUAAGUUGGAUUUGUUCUUGUACAAGAGGUAGCUUUUACUGAGUCGAAUAUAAAGAAAACGCAUGGAUAACCAUCUCGUAUAUAGGUUUGCGG
rnacentral:SRP_RNA from 1 species